rnacentral:rRNA from 1 species
AACGAACGCUGGCGGCAUGCCUAACACAUGCAAGUCGAACGAGACCUUCGGGUCUAGUGGCGCACGGGUGCGUAACGCGUGGGAACCUGCCCUUAGGUUCGGAAUAACUCCCCGAAAGGGGUGCUAAUACCGGAUAAUGUCUUCGGACCAAAGAUUUAUCGCCUUUGGAUGGGCCCGCGUUGGAUUAGCUAGUUGGUAGGGUAAAAGCCUACCAAGGCGACGAUCCAUAGCUGGUCUGAGAGGAUGAUCAGCCACACUGGGACUGAGACACGGCCCAGACUCCUACGGGAGGCAGCAGUAGGGAAUAUUGGAAAAUGGGCGAAAGCCUGAUCCAGCCAUGGCGGGUUAGUGAUGAAGGCCUUAGGGUUGUAAAGCUCUUUUACCCGGGAUGAUAAUGACAGUACCGGGAGAAUAAGCUCCGGCUAACUCCGUG